GCCCAUUUGGCUUAGUGUAUAGAGCAUUGGCCUGCAGACCCAAGGGUCCUGGGUUUGAUUCCGGUCAAGGGCA
rnacentral:tRNA from 1 species